rnacentral:lncRNA from 1 species
AUGAUAAUGCGCACCGGGAAGCCCUCGCGGUCGAAGAUGUGGCAUAAGUGUGGGCUCUAGGCCAUCAAGGCGAAACACGGUCAGAUCUGUCUCUUCUAUCCUCACCUUCUUUGCCAACCUGGAAGUUGCAGCAUCUUCCCGCUCGUGGGCUUUCAGGCUCUGGGCUAAUAUCAGAGCCGCAUCCACACCCAUAUCUGCAACGAAGGAAGACCAACACAGUCUACAAAUGGGGCCGCGGAGGCAGAGAAGGUUUUGAGGCUAACCCAAGCUAGUCUGAGGGAUGCGGGGGUACAGAGAUGAGGGUGACUCAACGGAUGCCU